rnacentral:rRNA from 1 species
CCUACGGGGGGCAGCAGUGGGGAAUAUUGCACAAUGGGCGCAAGCCUGAUGCAGCCAUGCCGCGUGUGUGAAGAAGGCCUUCGGGUUGUAAAGCACUUUCAGCGGGGAGGAAGGCGGUGAGGUUAAUAACCUCAUCGAUUGACGUUACCCGCAGAAGUAGCACCGGCUAACUCCGUGCCAGCAGCCGCGGUAAUACGGAGGGUGCAAGCGUUAAUCGGAAUUACUGGGCGUAAAGCGCACGCAGGCGGUCUGUCAAGUCGGAUGUGAAAUCCCCGGGCUCAACCUGGGAACUGCAUUCGAAACUGGCAGGCUAGAGUCUUGUAGAGGGGGGUAGAAUUCCAGGUGUAGCGGUGAAAUGCGUAGAGAUCUGGAGGAAUACCGGUGGCGAAGGCGGCCCCCUGGACAAAGACUGACGCUCAGGUGCGAAAGCGUGGGGAGCAAACAGGAUUAGAUACCCUUGUAGUC